AAACUCAUAAACUUUAUUUUAUUUUUUUGCAAAUAAUAAUUCACUUAGAAUUUCAUGGCUGCACAUGCCAAAGUAGUUGGGAAAGGGCAUGUUCACCACUGUCUUACAUCACCUUUUAACAACACUCAAUAAACGUUUGGGAACUGAGGAAACUAAUUGUUGAAGCUUUGAAAGUGGAGUUCUUUCCCAUUCUUAUUUUAUGAGAGCUUCAGUCGUUCAACAGUCCGGGGUCUCCGCUGUCGUAUUUUACGCUUCGCAAUGCGCCACACAUUUUCGAUGGGAGACAGGUCUGGACUGCAGGCGGGCCAGGAAAGUACCCGCACUCUUUUUUUUACGAAGCCACGCUGUUGUAACACCUGUUGAAUGUGGCUUGGCAUUGUCUUGCUGAAAUAAGCAGGGGCGUCCAGGAAAAAGACGGCGCUUAGAUGGCAGCAUAUGUUGUUCCAAAACCUGGAUGUACCUUUCAGCAUUAAUGGUGCCUUCACAGAUGUGUAAGUUACCCAUGCUUUGGGCUUUAAUGCACCCCCAUACCAUCACAGAUGCUGGCUUUUGAACUUUGCGUCGAUAACAGUCUGGAUGGUUCGCUUCCCCAUUGGUCCGGAUGACACGAUGUCAAAUAUUUCCAAAAACAAUUUGAAAUGUGUACUUGUCAGACCACAGAACACUUUUCCACUUUGCAUCAGUCCAUCUUAGAUGAUCUCGGGCCCAGAGAAGCCGGCGGCGUUUCCGGAUGUUGUUGAUAAAUGGCUUUCGCUUUGCAUUGCAGAUGUAGCGACGAACUGUAUUUAGUGACAGUGGUUUUCUGAAGUGUUUCUGAGCCCAUGUGGUGAUAUCCUUUAGAGAUUGAUGUCGGUUUUUGUUACAGUGCCGUUUGAGGAAUCGAAGGUCACGGUCAUUCAAUGUUGGUUUCCGGCCAUGCCGCUUACGUGGAGGGAUUUCUCCAGAUUCUCUGAAGCUUUUGAUGAUAUUAUGGAGCGUAGAUGUUGAAAUCCCUACAUUUCUUGCAAUGUCACUUUGAGAAAUGUUGUUCUUAAACUGUUUGACUAUUUGCUCACGCUGUUGUGGACAAAGUGGUGUACCUCGCCCCAUCCUUUCUUGUGAAAGACUGAGAAUUUUUUGGGAAGCUGCUUUUAUACCCGAUCAUGGCACCCACCUGUUCCCAAUUAGCCUGCACACCUGGGGGAUGUUCCAAAAAAGUGUUUGAUGAGCAUUCCUCAACUUUAUCAGUAUUUAUUGCCACCUUUCCCAACUUCUUUGUCACGUGUUGCUUGCAUCAAAUUUUAAAGUUAAUGAUUAUCAGUUUGAACAUCAAAUAUGUUGUCUUUGUAGCAUAUUCAACUGAAUAUGGCUUGAAAAGGAUUUGCAAAUCAUUGUAUUCUGUUUAUAUUUACAUCGAACACAAUUUCCCAACUCAUAUGGAAACGGGGUUUGUACAUGUGAUUUUGUAGUUUGAAAACAUGAGCAAAAUAUUUGACACUGUCAUUAUGGGUUAUUGUGUGUAGAAUUCUGAGGACAAAAAUGAAUGUAUUUCAUUUUGGAGAAAGGCUGUAACACAAGAAAAUGUGUAAAAAGUGCAGAUGCCCUGUAUUUGCAGAUAAAAUGGUGUUGAUCUGACGUUACCUUUCCAGCUCUGAGGGGCGAGCGUGCAGGUUAAGCGAGGCGACUCUGCGAUGGGUGUUGCCAAAGCUUGAAGCAGGAUGAUGUAAAUCAGCGACUGAACUUGUCUGCAGGGCAAAGAGCAAGAGUUCUAGAGUUUCAAGUCGCCGAGGAGAGGAAGUAGGACGUGUGCGUUACCCUGAUAUGAAGACCAGUCCGGCGGAGGUGGCCUCUCCCACAGGGUAGGAACAUUCCACGGACAACUCCAUCACGGCCGGGUAGAUGGAGACACCCAAGAAGCCAAAAAGAGCGCAAACAAUCGCUACGGCCACCUUCUGAUCUUGUAUCAGACACACCUGGGGAGGAUUGUGGUGAGAUGUGUGUGUUCUUGUAUUUCUACCCUUCUGAAGACACCAACAAGGAAAAGUAGCUUCCAUAUGAGGAGGUGUGAACAAGUUAGGACAUAAAUCAUGGUCCCAAUACAGAAAAACCAUUGCAUCUAAUAGAGAAUGUCUCAUUUACAACCCUGCUGGUGAAAUCUAUCAAAAUGAGGGUGGUCCCAAAAAGGAGGGAUUUUUCAAAUUGACUGUGUGUCGGUUUUAAAAGUGCUCCCCCUCUGGCCAACAUAUGUAACAACAAGUGUGUGUAAGAAGUUGAAAUGCGCCCACUUUGGCCAAAAUUAAUAACAAAAAGAAACUGAACAUGUACACAGAGACAUACCGUAAUAACUUGAAGUAAAACAAAAUGUUUUAGUUAACUAAAAGCAGUCUUUUUCUCACAAUGUGUCGACUUUUUUUUCUGAUAAAACUGGGAACAAUUUCUCAUAUUCUUUUUGUUUCUGUAAUUUGCAAUAUUUUCUCGUAGAAUUAUUACUUUUUUAUGUAAAAUGAUAACUUUUUCAUGCAAAAUGGUGACAUUUGUCAUAUAAAAUAUAGAGAUUUAUCACAAUAUUGCCUAUUCUUUCAUUGUUCUUGUAAAAUAGUGACAUUUUUUGAGUAAAAUUAUGACUUUUGUGUCAUAAUUUUUCCUAUUAAAAUUCCUAUUAUUAUAAUGUUGCCAAAAAUGUUAUAAAACUGUGACUAUUCAUAAAAUUGCCAAAAGUUGAAGCUUUUUCUCCUAAAAUUCCACCUGUUAUUGAGUAAAAUUCCAACUUUUAUCAUAAUAUUGCACAAAUGUUCAGUUUUUCUUGGAAAAUUUUGACUACGAUUCCAACUUUAUUAUAACCCUGCCAAAAUUCUAAGCUUUUCUUGUGAAAUUAUGACCUUUUCAUGCUUUUUAUAUUUGCAUAGUAUGUAUAUAUUAUUAAUGUUGUAAAUACAAAUAUUUCUAUAUCUAGUAAGGGUGGUCCUGAAGAGGUCGGCAUUUUUCCGAGGUCUCAACAAGGUAAUAAAUAGGUGUGUGUAAGAUGCACUCACCACAGUGAAGGCGCAGGCCACCAUGGCAGAGAGGCUCAUGUUGACUUUGAUGGCCUCUAUGAACUUCUUGGUUUUGUCAACGUAAAGCCCCGGCAGGGCGGCGCCCACCAUGCCCAACGCGAUGAAGAGUGCGCCGCAUAGACCCACGAAAUCCUGUAGGGAUGAAACACGUGCAUGUGAUAGAUCCUACUUUGAAGGUAUGUCUGACAAACCAAACAAACAAAGCGUGCAUUAACAGAUCGAUAAAAAUCAGUAGCAAGUAGCGAGCUGAAUGUAGAUAAAUGGAGCGCAGUAAAAGUAGUGUUUCUUCUCUGUAAAUAUACUCAAGUAAAAGUAUGUUGCAUUAAAACUACUCUUAGAAGUACAAUUCAUCCCAAAAGUUACUCAAAUAGAUGUAACGGAGUAAAUGUAGCGCGUUACUGCCCACCUCUGUCCGAAACAUAUCAUGUCUCACAAGAGAUUGGUACACUUCUUCAUAAUGACAGGACACACGGAAAUCAUCAAAGACCUCAAACAGUAAGCUGCUCAGAUUCAAGUUAAAGUACCAAUGAUUGUCACACACACACUAGCUGUGAUGAAAUUUGUCCUCUGCAUUUGACCCAUCCCCUUGAUUACCCCCUGGGAGGUGAGGGGAGCAGUGAGCAGCAGCGGUGGCCGCGUCCGGGAAUGAUUUUUGGUGAUUUAACCCCCAAUACCAACCCUAGAUGCUGAGUGCCAAGCAGGGAGGGUAACAGGUCCUAUUUUUAUAGUCUUUGGUAUGACUUGGCCGGGGUUUGAACUCACAACCUACCGAUCUCAAGUUAACUGGAUCUGGUCCAGCAGCGUGGAGAAGCAGGUGAACACGGCCACGCCCGAGCCAAAGCACAGCAGCAGCAGGUACGCUCAGUUCCUCAGCAGCUGGGCGGGACAAGGACAAAGGGCGGCGAGUCAGACUGACUUUUUGCAGUGCAGGAUGUUUCCUACCAGUUUGAAGCCAUGUCUGAAGGGUUCCGAGGUGGAAUGUUCUGCGCUGGCCGAUGGCGGCGUCGGGGGUGGGGGGCACUGCACCGCAUGCCCAUGGUGACGAGGAAACAGCUGACGCAGGCAACAACGGCAUAGACCAACAUCUGAAGGAUGACAGGUGAACAUUUAUUUUUACCUUGAGAUCCUUUAAUCAGCUAUUCAGUAAUUCUAUAUAACUCACCAAAAGUGGGAGUUGUGCCGUGCGAGCGAUCUUUGGAGACGCCAUGUUGGCGAUGAGGAUGCCCAGCGGGUUGGCUGUGGAGGAACAGCGGGCUAAAGAUGAUCACCUCCAUGUCAAGUGUCUCCCAUAAAAUUGCUCAUAGACACCUUGUAACUCACUUGGUCUGCCAGAGCAUAAGACCAUGUAGCAGGAAGGGAUCAGUGUUGCCAACGUAACCACUUUCUUGCUAUAUUGCGUAAUCAGACCUCUUUUUCCAAAAAUUGACUCAUCCAUUGGAAAGACUUUUGUAGACCAUGAAUGCAUCUGUGGGCCCCUCCCACAUCUAAAAUCACUCUAGGGAUGGAACCAUGAAUGGUAUUAAUGAUAACCGCGGUAAAACACCCCACAGUUAGUAUUACCAUUUUAAAGGGCGGUACAGCUUGGUUGGUAGAGCGGCCGUGCCAGCAACUUGAGGGUUCCAGGUUCGAUCCCCGCUUCCGCCAUCCUGGUCCAGUGGUUCUCAAAUAAUAUGACCUCUUUAAAUACUUGACAGUUUGAAGCAGUUUUCAAUAGAAGUAGUGAAUUCAAUAAUUAAUUAUAUAUCUAUUUUUAUUUUUAUUUUUUAAAAUACACAAUAUAUAUUUACAUAUAUAAUUGAUAUUUACCAAUUUCUUCACAUUAUUGUAAAUUAAUAGUGAAUUUAAAAGUACAUUCGUUAAUUGUGGAACUGUGACAACACUAAUUCUAAACCUGAAUGUUUUGCAUUUCAUGUUUUUUUACAGUCAUUUAUGCAAAAUAGUGGAUUAUUCCAAGGCAAACCACCGCCGCCAACAAAUACACUAUAUUGCCAAAAGUAUCUGGCCACCUGCCUUGACUCACAUAUGAACUUGAAGUGCCAUCUCAUUCCUAACCCAUAGCGUUCAAUAUGAUGUGGGUCCACCUUUUGCAGCUAUUACAGCUUCAACUUUUCUGGGAAGGCUGUCCACAAGGUUGCGGAGUGUGUUUAUAGGAAUUUUCCACCAUUCUUCCAAAAGCGCAUUGGGGAGGUCACACACUGAUGUUGGUGGAGAAGGCCUGGCUCUCAGUCUCCAUUCUAAUUCAUCCCAAAGGUGUUCUAUUGGGUUCAGGUCAGGACUCUGUGCAGGCCAGUCAAGUUCAGAUGCAUCAGACUCUGUCAUCCAUGCCUUUAUGGCCCUUGCUUUGUGCAGUGUUGCACAAUCAUGUUAGGAGCGUGGAAUUGUCCAAAAGGUUUUGGUAUCCUGGAGUAUUCAAAGUUCCUUUCACUGGAACUAAGGGGCCAAGCCCAACUCCUGAAAACCAACACCACACCGUCAUUUCUCCGCUGACCCCUCUCUGUCAGUUUACAUGGUCUACUAAUUGGUGGCUGAGUUGAUGUUGUUCCCAAACUCUUCCAUUUUCUUAUAAUAAAGCCGACAGUUGACUUUGGAAUAUUUAGGAGGGAGGAAAUUUCGCCACUGGAUUUGUUGCAAAGGUGGCGUCCAAUGACAGUUCCACGCUGGAAAUCACUGAGAGCGGCCCAUUCUUUCACAAAUGUUUGUAAAAACAGUCUCCAUGCCUAAGUGCUUGAUUCUAUACACCUGCGGCCGGGCCAAGUGAUUAGGACACCUGAUUCUCAUCAUUUGGAUGGCUGGCCAAAUACUUUUGGCAAUAUAGUGUAGAUUGCAGUCCUGUGGGGGAAACACUUCCACAUUUCUCACUCACCCAUGGAGGCCAUCAUGUUGGCCGUGGCUCGCUGGUGAUCGGGGAACCACAACGCCGCCAUCUUGGUGGGCGUGAAGAUGAUGAGCGGCUGCGCCACCGCUGCCAGCUUCUGACCGAAAAACACCACCGCGUAGAAGAUCAGACCCAGCCGCAAACACCCCAAAAUGCGAGUCACCGCCCCGCCCAUAUUUAACCAGGAGCAUCUGAGAGAGGAGAAAUUAGAUUUUGACGUACAGUGGGGCCAAAAAGUAUUUAGUCAGCCAGCGAUUGUGCAAGUUCUCCCACUUAAAAUGAUGACAGAGGUUUGUAAUUUUCAUCAUAGGUACACUUCAACUGUGAGAGACAGAAUGUGAAAAAAAAUCCAGGAAUUCACAUUGUAGGAAUUUUAAAGAAUUUAUUUGUAAAUGAUGGUGGAGAAUAAGUAUUUGGUCAACCAUUCAAAUGUCUCACUGAUGGAAGGAGGUUUUGGCUCCAAAUCUCACGAUACAUGGCCCCAUUCAUUAUUUCCUUAACACGGAUCAAUCGUCCUGUCCCCUUAGCAGAAAAACAGCCCCAAAGCAUGAUGUUUCCACCCCCAUGCUUCACAGUAGGUGUGGUGUUCUUGGGAUGCAACUCAGUAUUCUUCUUCCUCCAAACACGACGAGUUGAGUUUAUACCAAAAAGUUCUCUUUUGGUUUCAUCUGACCACAUGACAUUCUCCCAAUCCUCUGCUGUAUCAUCCAUGUAUCCAUUUUGGAUACAUGGACAAUAAAACAAUUAUUUGGGAAUGUCCGGCGGGCCAGAUUUAAAAGCUUGAAGGGACGCAUGUGGUCCCCAGGCCUUAUUUUGCCCAGGUCUGAUCCAGACCCACCUGAACAGUUUUGUUCCCUUGGCCAUCAGGCACAUGAACAAGAACAAGAUCUGAUGGCUCAGUCACAGCUCAUUUUUAUUACCUAUUCUGUGUUAUAUGUGUUUUAUGUGUCACGAUUGCACCAAGAAAAAUUCCUAGUUUGUGAACCUGUUCUCAAACAAUGGCAACAAAAUCUAUUCUGAUUCUGAUUCUGAACUAAAAAUAUCCAGAUAAUAAUGAUGUGGGGGUUUUUUCCACUUACAUGUCGCGGUUAGUGCCAUCAUUCAUACUUUCUGAAUAGAUAAUAUGAUCAUGCUCCUUCUUAUAAUAGGUGGAAUUGAGUCAGGCAGCGUUUAAAAAUACUCCCAUUGUUGCUAUUUUUUGAUGUAUUAGAGCAGGGGUAGGGAACCUAUGGCUCGCGAGCCAGAUGUGGCUCUUUUGAUGACUGCAUCUGGCUCUCGGAUAAAUCGGAGCUGACAUUGCUUUACACGAUAAGUAAUGAAUAAUUCCAUUAUUAAUAACAGUGUUAAAUAUAAACGCUCAAAAUAUAAAACAUUGUCAUGCUUUUUUAUGUUCAAGAAGUUGCGUUAAUGGUGAGAAGUUAUUCAUUUAUUAUUACUUAUUGUGGGGCUUGCCCUCCUGGGGGUUCUUCAGACCACCAAGCACCGACAUGAGAGCCUGUUUCAGGGUAACAAUAUUGUUUUAUUUUUCAAUAAGUCUCUCAGUUGCUUUACAGCAAUUGUAUUUUUCUCUUUCGUUCUCGCUCGCGCUCCGGCUCCAGCUCCAACCUUGGUUCUCCUCCUGGCUGCUGCUUAUAACAGAGCGACAGGUGAUUAGAUAACAAGGCCCAGGUGGGCCAUCUACGCACUUAUCGCUGAUUUUGAGGCCGGUCCUGGCAACACCCUGCUUCGCUGCAGGCCCGCAGGCCACGCCGCCUCCACAGUUAGCUUCAGAAUAACAAUGUUAUUACAAAGAAUAAGAGACCUAUUAUACUUUAGAAAUUUUGGUCGUAAUUAAAAAUGCACGCGUUUAGUUGUGUUCAGUGUUAAAAAAAAUACUAUAUGGCUCUUACAGAAAUACAUUUUAAAAUAUUUGGCUUCUUGGCUCUCUCAGCCAAAAAGGUUCCCGACCCCAGUAUUAGAGGGUGGAAUAGGUUUGAAGAAUGGGGGAUUUGCCCAGCGACUCUCUGUCGGAGUAUCAGCGCUAGGGUCCAGUGCACCACAGUUUUUUAUUGUUGCUCGGUCCUUCGGCGGAGUGCUUCGGAAGCUACCGGACCCCUCAUCUCCC